UGCGUGAAGUUGGAAUCGCUAGUAAUCGCGGAUCAGCAUGCCGCGGUGAAUACGUUCCCGGGCCUUGUACACACCGCCCGUCACACCAUGAGAGUCGGGAACACCCGAAGUCCGUAGUCUAACCGCAAGGGGACGCGGCCGAAGGUGGGUUCGAUAAUUGGGGUGAAGUCGUAACAAGGUACC
rnacentral:rRNA from 1 species